rnacentral:lncRNA from 1 species
AAAAAGAGGUAUCUCAAUCCAAUGGGAAUAUGGGAUCACUUACUCUGUUGACAUAGUGUGUGAUCCUUGUAAAACAUGGUGUGUGUGUGUGUGUGUGUGUGUUGAUGGUCUCACUCACAGGAUGGAUCAUUGCUUCUUUUCCCUAACACUCACAUGAUGGAUUAUUGCUUCUUUUCCCUGACACAAGCAAACCAAAUGAAAUGAGAUCUUAUUUAUUUACAAUCAAAUCAAAACAAGGAAACAAGGAAAGGUGAAAAUGGACUGCACUUUAGUUUACUUCAUUUCAUUUCAGACAAGCAAACCAAAAGAGAGCCUUAAGUGAACAUUCUUGCCAUUUGUUGACAGAUUACAAAUAUUGACAGUAAAUAAGAGUGAAAAUUGUGAAAUAAAAAUUUGUUGAAAUAAAAUAACUGUGGGAGUACUUGUUCUUCUUCCUGCUUCUUCUUCUUUUUCUUCUUAAUCUUCUACUUGUUCUUCUUCUUCUUGUUCUUCUACUUCUACUUCUACUUAUUCUUCAUCUUCACCUUGCGUAUUCAUAUCUUCAGGACAAAAUGGAUCUCCCAGACCUCAACUUCACUCCACCACCAGAAGAUGUGGACGAAAUGGAUGAAGAUGUAGAAAAUGAAAUGGAAGGAGAUGCAGAAGAUGGAAUGGAAGGAGAUGAAAUUGUUCAAAAUCCAGGUACAAUUAUAGUUGAUCAUUUCAUCUCUUCAUCAUUUGAUCAUUUCAUCACUUGAUCAUUUAAUGAUUUCUUUGUUGUAUGUCUUGGUGCAGGUGUUGGGCAAGUUGGUAGAAAAAAUAAAACCCUCAAUGACCAGCAAAAAUUUGCUGCUUAUGUAGCAUUGCAUACACUGUGUAUGAGUAGAGGAGGCACUUUUAAGAAAACUGAUACGCAAGACAUUGCAAAUUUUUUUGGAGUGGGUGUUUGGAAUAUACAAAGAAUUUGGAGGAAAGCAACGUUGCAAAUUCAACAAGGUCAAGAGGUAGAUGUUGCUGAUCAGAGAAAAGGAAAUUCUGGAAGAAAGCCUAAGGACAUUAACCUAGAAAAAAUCCUAACAAUCCCAUUAAACAGGAGGUCUACUAUUAGAUCACUAGCCUGGCAACUGAGAUGUAGCCCUACCACACUUCAUAGAAAGUUCAUGUUGAAUUUGAUUAGGAGGCAUACAAACUGUGUGAAGCCGACUUUAAAGGAAAAGAAUAAGAUGGAUAGGAUGAAUUUUUGUUUGUCGAUGCUUGAUGAGGCAACAACAGCAACUGAGAGGCCUAAGUUCAAGACUAUGCAUAACGUUGUCCAUAUUGACGAGAAGUGGUUUAACAUGACAAAGAAGAAUAGAACAUAUUAUCUGCUAGAUGGGGAGGAAGAGCCUACGAGGCCUAUACACGGCAACUGUAUUGUCAAGGUGAUGUUCUUGACGGCCGUUGCUAGGCCAAGGUGGGACAACGAAGGAAACGUGACCUUCUCUGGGAAAAUCGGUAUCUGGCCAUUCGUGAAAGAAGUUCCUGCUCAGAGGAGAAGUGACAACAGGCCCAGAGGUACAAUAGAGACAAAGUCAAUAAAGGUCGACAGAAAAGUGAUGAGGGAGUUCCUAAUAGAGAAGGUCUUGCCAGCAAUACAAGCAGUUUGGCCGGAAAAUGAUGCUGGACAGACCAUCUACAUGCAGCAGGAUAAUGCUAAGCCCCAUAUCUUGCCAGGUGACCAGGAAUUUCUAGCAGCUAUCGCAAAAACUGGACUUGACAUUAGAUUAGUACAACAGCCUGCCAACAGUCCUGAUUUGAAUGUGCUUGACCUUGGGUUUUUUAACUCGCUGCAAUCGCUGACAGAUUGUCUGAGUCCUAAAACACUACAAGACCUUAUUGCAGGUGUUUUGGAGGAAUUUGAAGGCUAUGAGGUUUACAAGCUCAACAGAAUUUUCCUAACUCUACAAAUGUGCAUGAUUGAGAUCAUGAACCAUGCGGGGGGAAAUGGGUAUAAAAUACCACAUGUUAACAAGGAAAGGCUUGAGAUGUGAAGUAUGUGUAGUUCCUUGAGAUGAGUCUUGUGCGGAGUGCAUCCCAUGUGAAAUUACUCCAUAUGUGUAAUACUCCAUUUUGUGAGACUUGUAUGUGUAAUUCCAUUUUGUGAUCAUUUUUACUCCAUGUAUUUUUUCUCCAUUUUGUGAGACUUGCAUGUGUAAUCCUUUAGUUUACAGUUUAAUUAAUUAAAGGAAAGGUUUCAGAUUAAUUAAUUAAACGAAAGGUUUUUAUAUAAUUAAUUAAUUAAAGGAAAUGUUUCAUUUUAAUUUAAAGGACAUGUUUCGUUUAAUUCUAGAGUAAAAAGACAUGUUGUUGUUGUUGCUGCUGCUACUUUUAAGUUUCAGAAGACAAGAUAAGAGAAGAGAGCAAGAAGAGAAGAGAAAUCAUUUUUGUUUCAAAAGUUUCAUUUGCUUGUGUGGAGUACUCCAUUUAAACGAGGCAGGUGCAGGUGCAGCUCUAGGCAGAUUACCUAGCUCCUAUCAAAUUCAGUUUAAACUAAAUAAAAUUCAGUAAGAAAAACACUUUUGAGGAUUGCUAACAGUCAGUCAAAUACUGAAUGCAGAAAACAAUUCCUGAGCCGUCCCAACAUUUUAAUCCUUGAGAUUUUCCUUAUAGUCACUCAAAGAUUUGCCUUGGUUUGUUAUACGAGUACUCCCUCCGUUCGGAAUUACUUGUCACAAAAAUGGAUGUAUCUAUAACUAAAAUACAUCUAGAUACAUUCAUUUUUUGGACGAGUAAUUCUGAACAGAGGGAGUAGCUUGGUGUAGGACAAGGAGUUGCAAAUUGACUUGUUGUGCAUGCAAAUAUCCAAAUUACUCAUAGCACCAAAAAGUCCUACUCCAAGAGCUUCAUGUGCUAAAAUACUGAAGCUGCAUGUGCUAUAAUUUUAGUUAUAAUUACUGCAAGCACAAGUAACAGAAAACAUAAGGACCAGCAAGUUGCUGCAAGUGGGUACAAUUAUAAACUCACUCACAGUAACAAGUUACUCCAUGACAUCAAGUCCUACAGUACUGCUGCUACAUUUGCUACUCCUGCCUAGAAGAAAACAACAACAAGUCCUACACUACUCCAUUUUAAGCACUCCUGAACAUUUUGAAACAGAUUACUCCUGUUGCAUUAACAUUUUACUCCAUUUUAAGCAGCAAGUCCUCCAAACUGAAUCACUAAAUCACUGAAUGUACUCCCACAAUAUGAGUGCUACAGAAAUACUGAAAUGGAAAUGGAAAUUAAGCACAUACUAACUGAAGCAAAUUAACCAGUCACUGAAUAUACAUUUAAGCAAUCAGUUUUGCUUAAUUUUCAACUAGUAUGUGCUUAAUUUGGGACUAAACUAAAGUAGCUUCUGAACUAAAGUAGCUUCUGAACUUAAGAACAGAGUACACUGCAAAGCUUUUUUUCAUGUUCAAGCAUCAAAGAAAUGCAAGAGGGGUUUCUGAAUAGUGGUUGCAACAACAAAAAUAAAUUCUUGACAAGGAAGGCGAUCGAAGAUCGUAGCAUGGAUGGCAUGUCUCAAUUUUCAGGAGCAGCAUUGAACCAAAUAAUUUCUGAGAAGAUUGUUUGGGCAUGAUAUCCUAACCUCUCAACUUGCAGACUCCAAAGAACAGACCAGCAUGUUUGGUUGGUAAGUUUUGAAUUAUCAGCCUGCUUGGUCGUCCAAUAAUCUAGUCCUUGUGAUCAAUGCUGAAGAUUGUUGUCGAAUAUUGGUGCCUGGUGAGAUCUUCGGGAUCUCUCUUUUGCCCGAAAAAUCAAGACCCAGAGACAGGUCAUUUGCAGCAACAAUGCUUGCAGGUAGGCAACUUCCGUGAAGCUUCUCAUUUUUGUGGUCCAGUGCUGCUAGUUACAGGAAACAUUUGUGGAAGAACAUGCAGUGCCCCCAUGUUUGGUUUUGGUAAUUGAUGACAAUCUCUAUGGACUAAUGGUUGCCUUGAGCUAUAUUUGAAGGUUUUGUCCAUAGGCUUUUCUUGGAGUCCAUUUGUUGGUUUCAAGGAGAGUUUGUGAUGACCACGGUGCUAUUAAGGAAUUAUCCAAAGUCAAAGGUUUGUCAUGUGAGUGUUGAGCUUAUUGCAAGCAUGUCUUGAAGAAUAAGAUUGUGUGAUCAUUCAUGUCCACCUUCAAGACAUCAUCCAAAUGAAGAGAGUUGGAAAGAUUCAACACACAAAGCACACAAGAUGUACCGAGGGAUCAAGUGAUCCCAUGGUAUGGUAAGCAUUGCCCAUUACGCUUUGUGUGCUAACCCAUGGUCUUCGUGAGAGUUCUUUGUGGGGUUAGGUUACGGUGUGCUAGUUCAAGUGAUGUAUCAUGAAGAGAUCAAGUGUGUGAAGCUUGCCGUCCAUUGUGGUGACAAUGGACUUGUGAAGAUGAGCGGAAGAGUGGCUCACCCAUAGUGGAGUAUGGGGGAGCAAUCAACUAGUCUUCAUCGAGCCAACGCAAUCAAGAAAGGUGGUCCAUCUUGAGGAGGAGUAGAUCGUCAUCAUCUAGCUCAAGUGGACUUUGUGCAAGGCAAAGGUUUGCCCUUGAUAGGUUUUCUAUUUUACCGGUCUCAUGGUAGUUGUGGGAGACCGGGUUAUAGGAUCGAUUGUCGUACUAUCAAGGGGGGCUCUCGAUGAGUUGCUUCAUCGUAUCGUUCGUAGAGAGCUCAAACCAUUGCAUCCUUGCAUCAUCUUUAUUGGUUCUUGUUUGGUUCUUCUCCUUGUGUGAUUUGGAGCUUUUGGUCAUUUUCAUGACAAGCUCGAGUUCAUCGAAAACGGAGUUCACAUGCAUCUUCUAUGAUGUUUUCGAUGUUGGAGGUUCUGCCGGUUCUUCUCUGUUGGAGGUUUCUCUCGUCUCUAUUUUGAUUCUACUCGUUGUCUUGUAUCCAACAAGCUUGAGUUUGCUCAAUUCGGAGCUCAUUUGCAGAAGUUAUGGCAGUUCUGGUUUUAUUGUUUCCCUCUGUUGUCUUCUCUGCAAAAUGAAGGACUCCUAGUGUUGCUGAUCUGGGGCAUGCGGUAGUACUGCUCUCCGGAGCGGUAGUACCGCAGGCCCUUGCGGUAGUACUGCAGGUGCUCACGGUAGUACCGCUCUGUGGGAGCGGUAGUACCGUGGCCUCAGGCCAGGCGCAGCUGCUCGAGCGGUUGUAGGGGCGGAUGUAAUUUUUUACAUCCGUGCCCUACGCGGUAGUACCGUGCCGCGGGCGCGGUAGUACCGUGGGCUCUGGCCAGGCUUAGCAGCAUGAGCGGAAGUAGGGGCGGAUGUAAUUUUUUACAUCCGCGCCCUACGCGGUAGUACCGCUCUUCGGGUGCGGUAGUACCGUGCCGGAGUUUUGCGCAGGUCCUCCCUCAGCGGAAGUAGGUACGGAAGUAAUUUUUUACUUCCGUGCUUUCUCUGCGCCUAGUGUUGCCUGCCUUACGGUAGUACCGUAGGGGCGCGCGGUAGUACCGCUCCGGCGGUUCUACCACUCGUUGCCCUAUGCAACAGGCCUUCAUCUGGCUAGUGCUGCGCAUGUGGUAGUACCGCAACCUGCAGCAGUAGUACUGCAGCCGACCGCGGUAGUACCGCAGCUCCGUGCGGUAGUACCGCGUCGUGCGGCUAAGUGAGGGGACAACGGUUGGAUUUUCUCCCCACCUAUAAAAGGGGGUCUUCUUAUCCAUUGAGACCCAAUCUCUUAAGCUCGUGUUCUUCCCCAUUGUUGACUUUCUUCGAGCUUGCUAACUCUCAAUUCCUCCAUGGAUUCUUGCUAGUUUGUGAGGGAAAAGAGAGAGGAGAUCUAGAUCCACGUUUCCACCAAUCACUUUCUCCUCUAAGUGAGGAGAACCCCUUGGAUCUAGAUCUUGGAGUUCUUUGUGUUCUUCUUUCGUUCUUCCUCUCAUUUUCCUCCCUAGCAUUAGUUGCUUCGGUGGGAUUUGAGAGAGAAGGACUUGGGCACUCUGUGUGCCCUUGCCAUUGCAUUUGGUGCAUCGGUUUGAGUUCUCCACGGUGAUACGUGGAAGUUACAAUUUGAGAAGCUUAUUACUCUUGGGUGCUGGGUACCCUUGAGCUUGUUCCUCUUGGGUGCUUGGGCGCCCUAGACGGUUGGUGGUGUUCGGAGCUCAAUCAUUGUGGUGUAAAGCUCUGGGCAAGCGUCGGGGUCUCCAAUUAGGUUGUGGAGAUCGCCCCGAGCAAUUUGACGGGUACCGGUGACUGCCCCCAAGGGUUGCCAAAGUGUACGGGUUCGGUGACCACCCCCAAGGGUUGCCAUCUGUACGGGUUCGGUGACCGCCCUCAAGGGUCCCUUAGUGGAUUCACGGCAUCUUGCAUUGUGCGAGGCUGUGAGGAGAUUACGGUGGCCCUAGUGGCUUCUUGGGGAGCAUUGUGCCUCCAGACCGCUCCAAACGGAGAUUAGCAUCCGCAAGGGUGUGAACUUCGGGAUACAUCGUCGUCUCCGCGUGCCUCGAUUAUCUCUUACCCGAGCUCUUUACUUAUGCACUUUACUUUGUGAUAGCCAUAUUGUUUCUUGUCAUAUAUCUUGCUAUCACCUAGUAGUUUAUGUUGCUUAGCAUAAGUUGUUGGUGCACAUAGGUGAGCCUAGUUGUUGUAGGUUUUGUGCUUGACAAAUUAACCGCUAGGUUUAUUCCGCAUUUGUUCAAGCCUAAACCGUCAUUAUUUUAAAACGCCUAUUCACCACCCCCCCCCUAGGCGACAUCCACAAUCUUUCAAUUUUGUAUGGCAUAAGAAAUUUAUUAUACCUGGAUAUAUCUGUGGCAAACUGAUUUAUUAAGUUCUGCUAGAAAACUGAUUUAUUAACAAGAAUGCAAGUGCAAUUUGCAAAACUGAUUGGUUAAAUUUCUAGGCAUGAGGAUAGUUGAAAAUUAAGCACAUACUAACUGAAAUCACUGAAUAUACUCCCACAAUAUUGGUUGUGUGAAAUACUGAAAUGGAAAUUAAGCACAUAUUAACUGAAGAAAUGUUCCAAGGAAAAAUUAUGAAGCAGAUGAUGAUACGAGGGGGCUAAUUUCAUUACUACUUGAGCAAAGAUGACUGAAAGAAUACUUAAGCAAGUGAACUGAAUUUCACUACAGAGCAGGAUGACUGGUACUUGACAUGUAGGAUGAAGCAUAGAUGCUCCGCUCGGUCUAGGAUGAAGAAGAGACCAAGGCGAAGAGGACCAGCUCGUCAGGGAUCUGCUCUGCUCUGACCUGCUCU